GUCAAUCAGGCGCGCUGACCGGAGGAGGGUGCAAGGUUCAAAGAGCCCGCCGAGUCUUCUCCACGCCCCUGCACUGGGCUCCGGGUUCUGUCACUGAGAGACGCCCUGGAACGUCUGUGGCAGCUUCUGUCUCGCUGGGACCCGCACUGACAGCGGGAGGCCGAGGGAGGAACCUGGACGCCGGAAGCCGGGAAAUGGACUCAGUGGCAUUUGAGGAUGUGGCUAUAAACUUCACCUGUGAGGAGUGGGCUUUGCUGGGUCCAUCACAGAAGAGUCUCUACAGAGAUGUGAUGCAGGAAACCAUCAGAAACCUGGACUGCAUAGGUAAGGAUGUCAUCAUGUCUUCUAUUAGUCAAUUAGAGACAUUUGUUUCUUGGUCAUCAAUGAUGUUCAAUUAUUUGAAAUAUGGAAAGGGUAUAUAAUUGGCCCUUGAACCAGCCACCCAAGCAGUCAUACAUCUUCUCCCACACAACUUAACCACUAGUAGCCUACUGUUUACUGGCAGCAUUACUGGUAACAAACAGUUGAUUAAUACAUGUAUUAUAUGUCAUAUGUAUUA
rnacentral:sRNA from 1 species